rnacentral:antisense_RNA from 1 species
CUUCAGAAUGCAGCAAAGCAUGAGAGAAUAUUAGAAGGCCACUGAGAAAGAGAAGUUUUAGGAUUACAGAAGUAUUCAACAACCAACCAUUGAGGGUGCAAGAACUGGGCGAUCCCACGGGUCCACCAGGGCUUUGACAAGGCAGGUGCUGGGGCAGAGCACUCUGGCCAGCAAGGAAAAGAUGAAGGUUCCCAUCUUGGCCCCAGCCUGGAUCUGUGCCCAUUGUAUUGUGUGGACGCACCAAGCUGUGUUUCUCCAUCACCUUUUGAGGAAACUUCGGUUGUUUCCACCUUCUGGCCAUUAUCAGUAAAGCUGCUGUGAACCUUU